ACGAUGGAACAGUAACAUGUUACGUAGACAAAUACCCAAUAAACUUUCUCAUCGACUCUGGAGCCUCGAUAAAUACUGUAACUGAAAGACCGUGGCGUACACUGAAAGAAAAUAAAGCGCAUAUUUAUAAAACCAAAUUUCAAUGCGAUCGACAAUUCAAAGCAUACGCAAGCGAUACCCCAUUACGAGUUUUGAUCGUGUUUGAAACAUGGGUUUCAAUUAACGAGACAAAACCCCGAAGUUAUGCAGAAUUUUUUGUUAUAGAAGGGACGAUCAAAUGUUCCUUAGUAAGAAACUGCAGAGAAACUCAAAGUAUUAAAAGUGGGACUACAAACAGAACAAGCAGUGGAGAAUAAGGAUGAACCUUUUCCGAAAUUUCUAAAUAUUCAGAUUAGGCUGUCGAUAAACAGAAGCAUACUUCCUAAGAAAAUAGAACGAGUCAAGGGCGGACCAGAAUGGAUUUCACCGAUUGUCGUUGUGCCUAAAGGCAAGGCUGAUGUUAGACUUUGUAUUGAUAUGCGAUAUCCAAAUGAAGCUAUUCAUCGCGAGCAUUUCCCACUCCCAGUGAUAGAAACAUUCUUAAACAAGUUAAGAGGAUCUGUAUAUUUCUCAAAGCUGGACAUUGCUUCAGCAUUCCUCCAUAUUGAAUUGCUUCCUGAGUCCCGACCAAUUACUACGUUCAUGACAGCUAAAGGAUUAAUGCAAUUCAAACGAUUUAUGUUUGGGAUCAAUUGCGCGCCGGAAAUUUUUCAGCUCAUUAUGUCCGAAAUGCUAAUUGGAAUUGAAGGGAUCAUCGUGUAUAUUGAUGACAUUGUUGUAGUUGGGAAAAGCCUUUUUGAGCACGAUUCACGACUUGAAGAAGUUUUAGAUGUACUUAAGGAAAACAAUGCGAAGCUGAAUUAUGCUAAAUGUGUAUACCGUGUUAAAGAAUUGGAAAUAUUGGGCUUAGUCAAUGCGUAUGGUAUAAGUCCUUCUGAUGAGAAAAUUGAAUCAAUAAGAAAUUUUCGUCGGCCCACAACUAAAGAAGAAGUACGAAGCUUUCUUGGACUUGUCAAUUUCGUGGGUCAAUUUAUUCCGCGUUUAUCAACACGUAGCGAACCAUUACGUUGAUAUAUCCGAGGAGAUGACAAUGUAUAUGGCGAAGAGCAACACAAGGCAUUCAAAUGGAGUUCAGAAGCUUGGAUUUUAUGACCCGGAAGAUAUCACUGAGUUAUAUGUCGACGCCUCACCAGUAGGCUUAGGUACUGUUCUGGUACAGAAGGAUAAGUGUACCGUACCACUAAUUGUUACUUUUGCUUCUAAGGGCUCAACAUCCGCCGAGAAAGCCUACCCACAAACACAACGUGAGGCGUUAGCUGUAGUCUGGGCGGUGGAAAAGCUUUAUUGAUACCUGUAUGGAAUUCAUUUCACAGUUUUUACCGACCACAAGACAUUAGAGUUCAUUUAUGGUGGGAAGUAUCGCGAUGGUAAACGGGCCUGCUCCCGAGCCGAAUCGUGGCUUACAGCCUAUGAAUUAAAAAUUAAACACAUUCCAGGAGUGUCAAAUAUUUCCGACAUAUUAUCAAGACUUUGUUCAGCAUCUGAAUCAGCGUUUGAUGAGGAAUCAGAGCACUUUCUCUUUGCGGUAGGAGAUAGUCCGUUCGCAAUAACAUUGGAUGAAAUUAUUAAUGAAACCCAUCGUGACGAUAUACUGGCUUCUGUAAUGAAAGCCCUGCAAACGAAUGAGUGGCCUAGCAAUUUAUUUAGAUACCAAGCAUUUCAGAACGAAUUGGGAAUUAUUAAUGGUGUAUUGGUGCGAGAAGAAAGAAUCAUUCUUCCACUGAAUCUAAGAUCUAGAGCAUUAUCAAUCGCACAUCGUGGGCAUUCUGGAGUAGUUUCCAUGCGACGAAUUCUUCGUGAAAAAGUAUGGUGGCUAUGCAUGGAUAAUGACAUAAGCAACACACUCCUCCUGAGCCAAUGAUAAGGAAGAAACUACCAGAACGAACGUGGCCAGAAAUCGCAAUCGCAUUUCUUUUCUGCGAAGGAAUGCGCCACUUUCUUGGUUGUUGUGGAUCAUUUCAGCUGAGUUUUGAAACAAACGUCUCUAAAACUAUAGAUGCUCUAGAGGAUAUAUUUUCUGAGAAAACCUAUCCAGAGACUAUAAGGAGUGAUAACGGUCCCCCGUUUUCAAGUGAAGAAUUUGCUCAAUAUUGUUUGGGAAAAAACAUCAAUUUGAUUCGUACGAUAUCGUAUUGGCCUCAAAUGAACGGGUUAGUCGAGAGACAGAACCAAGGGAUUCUGAGAACAUUACGCAUAGCAAAGGCCACGAACAGUGACUGGCGUAAAGCAUUGAAAGAUUAUGUGUUCAUGUAUAACACCUCCCCGCACUCGGUUACAGAAAAGGCUCCUAUGGGUCAGCCAGUGAAAAAUCUGUUACCAUCUCUUCGAACAGAACCUUGAUUACUUCGUGAUGAUGAGGUAAGGGAAAGAGACGCUAUCAAAAAAAUGCAUGGGAAACUGUAUGCAGAUAAACGCAGGCAUGCUAAAGCUUCAGAUAUUGAGGUCGGAGACACAGUCAUAAUGCGAACCUAUGUGACGGGAAAGCUAGAACCGAAAUUUCGGCUUGAUCGCUUUAAGACCGGUAACGAUACAAUCAUCGCAAACGAUGAAGGUUUGAUAUAUCGACGAUCCGCCAGCCAUCUGCGAAAGUGGCCUUCGCCAGAAUUAACUGAUGUAUGUGAAGAUUUACCCUAAGCACCAGCUAAUGAUCAUUCUUCAGCUUUAGAUCAUCGUAAUCAAACAUUAAAAUACACCACCGAUAUUUCUAAAGAGUUGACACCCGAAACGCAAUCAGAACUUUAAAACAGCUGCACAGGAUCAGUUAUUAAAGCGCCCCAGCAGGACCAGAAUCCGACCACAGCGAUAUAGUCCUUAGCAAUUCCUUAAUUCGGUGUUAUAAAACCGUCAAACUAAUAUGGGCUUGCAAAGUAAUUUUUUCACGGUAGAGAAAGGAUGUAGAGUACGGUACAUUUCGAGUACAAUUACUGACUGACCAGAAGUCAUAAAUAAAAAAGUGAAGGACAGCGCUCCAUUCAUCGCUGUGUGUGAUGGAAUCCCAUCAAAUUUUUACUUUUUUAUUUAUGACUUCUGGUCAGUCAGUAAUUUUUACUUUUUUCGGUUUUUAACUAUAUCAAACUAACUACACUGAUCGCAAUGCGCUGAUGACAUUUAUUUGCCAACUGCACUUAACCGAGAUUGAAUUCUGUAACACAAAAUACACAUAAAAUAUCAAUGUUCAAUUAUAACUAUUUUAUUUGCGAUACACAUUUGUUUAAUAUGUGACUCAAAAAAAUCAAUCAUUAUGUUGUAUCUAAUGUUUCGAAUCUGUUGCACACAUAAAGUUCAUAUUAUAACGUUAUACCUUUUUACCAAUACUAACAAAACAUGAAAAACAUGUGCAGGUCUAUUACUCUUACCACUCUUGCCUACGAACCGAACUGAUGCCAGGUAAUUUUUUCAAAAAUAUGUUCGCCGAAAAAAUCAUUAUAUGCAAAAUAGGUGAUAAAGUCCCAUAAGAAUUUAUUUUUGUCAGCAAUUUAACUUAAAUCCCGCCAAGUACGAACGAGAAUUCAGAAAAUAUCAUAUCAGCAUUGUCGGAGGAAUCGCUGUUUUUUUUUAAAUAGAUGCACCACAUUGAAUCUGUGCACCAGGCAUAUCUGCAAAAAAUAAAUGAUGGCGUCCACAAACGAAAUUUGUGCCGAGCUCAAUUUACCGGUUGAAUUUGCUGAAAUAUUUACAAUUUGUGAGUACACUAAGGAAGCAUUAAAAACUGUUACCAAGCUCCAAAACAAGCUUCCAAAUCCAGUGUCUACAGUAAAUAUUUAGUCGCAACAAGAAGAGGAGUCAUCAUUGAACAGUGUACAACAGAUCGGUAUCGUGACCAGCAUUCACCAUCAAGACACAGACGGUUCAAGUGUAGUCAAGACAUUGCAGAAGAUACCGAACGACUUCAAUUCUACAGAGUACUGUAAUCUACUUCACUCAGGCAGUUCUCCACAAGUGGUCGAUGACACACAAAGUCAUACCGUGUUUCUGCAGAACAUUCAUACACAAGCCAAAACAAAUAUUUUUGACUCUGCAGCCAUUAAUUCUGUUGCUAAAUCGAAUCCAGAAAAUUUGAACGAGCAAAUUUCGAAACAUCUCCAAACAGCACUCAUCUACCAUCAAAAAGAAAGCGGCAGGGCAUAAAGAUUUGUGGAACACACCCAUAAUACUCAAAAAUUUUAUCAGGAAAUUGUCGAGGACUUGACCAUGUUCCGGAAUCAGAGGUAGCAAGUGACACUGUUAUUACAUCUUCUUGGUAGUGUAUAGAAAGAUCCGAUUUGAUUGAAAUAUUUGGACUUAACAAGUUAUGUGAAUUGUUGAAGACCGAUCAACAACUAAUAAGUCGUGCUCAACAAGGACUGUUAUCCGAUAAGAGUCAAGCGGAAUUAGUCUCCAUAAUCUCGGAAUAUCAUAUGAAUUCAAAGGGAAAAAUCACAGAAGAAAUUCUUAAAACCAACACUAAGGCUAUUACAAUGCUAUUCAAAAACGAAAAACCGGAAAUGUGUUUCACGAAAUCACGGUGGAAUAUUAUACAACAGUAUCGUUAACGCAAGGCAAAAACUCGCCAAACGUAAACUGAAGUAAGAGGAACAUCUAGCAAAAUCGAUGUGGUUCAUUCACGACCCUCACCCCUCAGGAGAGGAAGCAUUGAACUGGCUCAAUACUAAACCGUGGGCAACAACUCUUGAGAAGUGGUCUGUAAGUUUUAAUUGUCGUCAGUCCAAACCAAAACCGUUUGAUACUGAGUUCGCCUUGAAACAAUUUCGUCACUACGCAGAAACAUUCGGGUACCAGCUGGAAUUUUUUUUUUAUUUUAAUCCUGUUUUCAUAACAAUAUUUUUCUGAUUUACGGAACGUAGGUGGUUAUAACCGUCAUUACCUUUCAUAUGAAGCAGUAGCGAAGCUAGAAGAAAUACAUAUAAUAGGAAUACAAGGCAUAGAUGGUUUCCCAACAGAUUUACACAAAAUUGAUCACAAAUGUUAUUUUCGUAGAAAACGAGCAUUUUUUUCGUUAGAUUAAA